GAUGAACGCUGGCGGCGUGCCUAAUACAUGCAAGUCGAGCGAACGGACGAGAAGCUUGCUUCUCUGAUGUUAGCGGCGGACGGGUGAGUAACACGUGGAUAACCUACCUAUAAGACUGGGAUAACUUCGGGAAACCGGAGCUAAUACCGGAUAAUAUUUUGAACCGCAUGGUUCAAAAGUGAAAGACGGUCUUGCUGUCACUUAUAGAUGGAUCCGUGCUGCAUUAGCUAGUUGGUAAGGUAACGGCUUACCAAGGCAACGAUGCAUAGCCGACCUGAGAGGGUGAUCGGCCACACUGGAACUGAGACACGGUCCAGACUCCUACGGGAGGCAGCAGUAGGGAAUCUUCCGCAAUGGGCGAAAGCCUGACGGAGCAACGCCGCGUGAGCGAUGAAGGUCUUCGGAUCGUAAAACUCUGUUAUUAGGGAAGAACAUAUGUGUAAGUAACUGUGCACAUCUUGACGGUACCUAAUCAGAAAGCCACGGCUAACUACGUG
rnacentral:rRNA from 1 species